rnacentral:rRNA from 1 species
ACGCUCGACACCUACGGGAGGCAGCAGUAGGGAAUCUUCCGCAAUGGACGAAAGUCUGACGGAGCAACGCCGCGUGAACGAUGAAGGUUUUCGGAUCGUAAAGUUCUGUUGUUAGGGAAGAACAAACUUCGUUUGAAUAAGGCGGAGUCAUGACGGUACCUAACGAGAAAGCCACGGCUAACUACGUGCCUGCAGCCGCGGUAAUCUGAGCGGGCUGGCAAGGC